GACGAACGCUGGCGGCGCGCCUAACACAUGCAAGUCGAACGAGCGAGAGAGAGCUUGCUUUCUUGAGCGAGUGGCGAACGGGUGAGUAACGCGUGAGGAGCCUGCCUCAAAGAGGGGGACAACAGUUGGAAACGACUGCUAAUACCGCAUAAGCCCACGGUGCCGCAUGGCACAGAGGGAAAAGGAGCAAUCCGCUUUGAGAUGGCCUCGCGUCCGAUUAGCUAGUUGGUGAGGUAACGGCCCACCAAGGCGACGAUCGGUAGCCGGACUGAGCGGUUGAACGGCCACAUUGGGACUGAGACACGGCCGAGACUCCUACGGGAGGCAGCAGUGGGGAAUAUUGCACAAUGGGGGAAACCCUGAUGCAGCGACGCCGCGUGGAGGAAGAAGGUCUUCGGAUUGUAAACUCCUGUUGUUGGGGAAGAUAAUGACGGUACCCAACAAGGAAGUGACGGCUAACUACGUG
rnacentral:rRNA from 1 species